GACGAACGCUGGCGGCGUGCCUAAUACAUGCAAGUAGAACGCACAGUUUAUACCGUAGCUUGCUACACCAUAGACUGUGAGUUGCGAACGGGUGAGUAACGCGUAGGUAACCUGCCUGGUAGCGGGGGAUAACUAUUGGAAACGAUAGCUAAUACCGCAUAAUAUUAAUUAUUGCAUGAUAAUUGAUUAAAAGGUGCAAUUGCACCACUACCAGAUGGACCUGCGUUGUAUUAGCUAGUAGGUGAGGUAACGGCUCACCUAGGCGACGAUACAUAGCCGACCUGAGAGGGUGAUCGGCCACACUGGGACUGAGACACGGCCCAGACUCCUACGGGAGGCAGCAGUAGGGAAUCUUCGGCAAUGGACGAAAGUCUGACCGAGCAACGCCGCGUGAGUGAAGAAGGUUUUCGGAUCGUAAAGCUCUGUUGUAAGAGAAGAACGGGUGUGAGAGUGGAAAGUUCACAGCUGUGACGGUAUCUACCAGAAA
rnacentral:rRNA from 1 species